GAUGAACGCUGGCGGCGUGCUUAACACAUGCAAGUCGAACGGAAAGGCGCCUUCUUGCAGGGGUAGUCGAGUGGCGAACGGGUGAGUAACACGAGGGGGAUGUGCCCUGCACUUCUGGACAGGCUUGGGAAACUGGGGCUAAUAUCGGACAGGACCACAUGUUGGUGGGGGUUGUUGAAAGUUGGUCGGUGUGGGAUCAGCUUGCGGCCGAUCAGAUUGUUGGUGGGGUAGUGGCCUAGCAGGCCGUCGACGGGUAGCGGGCCUGAGAGGGUGGAUGGGCACCUGGGGAGUGUGAUACGGGCCGCACUAGUGCGGGAGACAGCAGUGUGGGCGAUAGCCCAAUGCGGCGACGCCUCGUGAGGGAAGGAGGCGUGCGGGAUGACAGCCUUUGGCUUGAAUGAACCAUUCGCUCCGGACGAGGCGUUUUUGUGACGGUAGCUGGAGAAGAAGCACCGGCUAACUACGUG
rnacentral:rRNA from 1 species